GCUGGAGCGAGGAAGGCAGAUCUUAAAACCGCCAUACGAAUGAGAGCUGGACAAGUGCUGAAGCGUAGCAAGUUCACAUACAGGUGUGCUUCUGGACUGAUUCCUUCAGCACUGCCAUUCCAAAGGAGUUUGAAGUUGGGUCUCCUUUCAUAGGAGCUGCUACACAGGAGUUGAUCCUCUGGUCAUGUGUCAUGUCGUCAGGACCUGAUCCAGCUAGAAUCUGAGAGAAGAUGUCUGUGAGAGAGUUGCGCUGGAGAUUGAUUAGCCUAAAAGAAGAAUUGUGGGACCUGGCCCUUCCUUGGUAUUAUUCAAUAUAGACGUGAACAUGCAUCACUUCAACACCUGAUCCCUACUGCUACGAGAAGAAGGGCUUUAUGUCCACCAAGUACUGCUCCCACAUGGGCUUGACUGUCUUGAUGGUUACAGAGCCUGGAAAAACUCAUUUUGACUUUACCAGGACCAGGAUUUCAUCCACAUCUUUUGGAUUUCCUAUGAAGAAAGGCUGUUGAAUAGGGCUCCAUUCCGUGGGCUUCAAAUCACCAACGGGGAGACUACUACAAUUUCAACUACAAUAGUCUGAUGGAUAAAUCCCUUAUCCCAUCCUGUUUGCUUAAUCCAGGAUUCUGAAAAAUGUUCACGUAUCAGAAAAGAUGUUGCAUCAGUGCAAGUCCAGAAACAAAUGACACUAGCUAUGGAUUCGCAUCAGCCUCAGUAGGAUCCACGUGGAGUCGGCUGUGAGCCAGUUGUGACCACCACGGUUGCAAGACCUUGCGUGAGUGGGAAGUGGACUCUGCACAAGGAGAUCUGCACAAUGCAAAUGUUGUCCUGAUGUGCCACGAUUGAAAAGAUCUCAGCACCUAGACAGAUCAAUGUGCAUCGAGCAAUUCACAGCUGCACCGAUAACUCUCAGCCAAAAGACACUGCUUUAGGAUUCAAACAGCACAGAAGAGUCAGCUGGUCUGGUCCCACAGCACCCACCAGAUUGCUAAGAGGAAAACUGCCAGGACGGCAAAGUCACUCUUAGCUAGAAACUAUUUUCUUCUAACAUGAUCCAGCUGAAUGCAAACCUGUGUUUGUUUUAAAAUAGUUUGCCUUGACACAUACUUAACACUGGCUUUGUGUGUCCUGGAACUGGUUCCAGUAAUUUAUUUCUGCGUUGUUGCUGACUGUCUCAAUUCCAAGACACAUCCCUCUGUGAAUGCAUGCGUCGUAUCGUGCUUCGCUCUGCCUGUAAGCAAGACCAUGAGCAGCCAUUUCUCAGCUGAAGUGUACGCAACUGCAUUUGUCAGUCUUCUGUGUCAUCUUUAGUCUUUCUGAACAAGAUAACAGAGAUUAUCAAACAAAAAAAAAAAAAAAACACUUGGGAGGCUUGUAAGAUCCAUCAGGUCUUUCAGUGAAGAUACAUAUGUCAGAAAGGAAGCAUCUUUCUGUAAGCGCUUGCUUUGAGGUUGAUGGUGAAGAGAUGGUAUAUUGGAGUUGCGGCUGUGAUGAACAUUCCCACUUGUGGCCAUGCCUGGUGAAGCAAGAGUUGUUCAUGUUUGAACACAUGCAUUUAGAAGCACUAGGAGUGCUCCCCUGCCUUUUAAAAACCUACUUGGCAAGAUUUGUGUGCUAAUAAAUGUUAUGCAUGAUAACAACAUUUAAAAUGUAUUAUCCAAAGCCAGAGCUACAAUUUAAUUUCUGAAGAAAUAAUAAUUUACCUAAACCCAGAACAUGGACCUAAAGCAUCUGCCUAGCUUGCUGUGGGAAGAGGACAAGGCCAUUGCUCUUAUGGCACCAUUUCCCGUUCCUCACUGAAAUGCGUCACCGAAGGACCAGGAAGAAGAGGAGACUGUGAAGCACGCGCUGCUUCUCAGCUGAUGAGAAGGAUCGCAGACCUUGUGCGCAGACCUUGCCUGGCUUUGUAUGGGUAUGGGCCUGACUGACCAUAGAUCUAAUCAGACUGUACCUGUCAGGCAUGUGUAAAAUAAGGCAAAGUUGGCUGUGUAUAAAGACUUUACAUAUUCAUCCAAAGAAUGGGUGCACUUAAUGUGUGACUAUAUGCUGGUGCGGCUUGAUCUAUCUGAUUAAUAA